AGCAGCCGCGGUAAUUCCAGCUCCAAUAGCGUAUAUUAAAGUUGUUGCAGUUAAGAAGCUCGUAGUUGAAUUUCGGAGUUCUACCGUCGGUCGGGCUACCAAGUCUGUACUGGUGUGUAGAAUUCCUACCUUCUGGGGAACUAUCAUGUUAUUAAUUUAGCGUGGUGGGAAACCAGGACCUUUACCUUGAAAAAUUAGAGUGUUCAAAGCAGGCAUAUGUCUGAAUACAUUAGCAUGGAAUAAUAGAAUAGGACGGUGGUCCUGUUUUGUUGGUUUCUGAAUCACCGUAAUGAUUAAUAGGGAUAGUUGGGGGCAUUAGUAUUCAAUUGUCAGAGGUGAAAUUCUUGGAUUUAUUGAAGACUAACUACUGCGAAAGCAUUUGCCAAGGAUGUUUUCACUAAUCAAGAACGAAGUU
rnacentral:misc_RNA from 1 species